rnacentral:rRNA from 1 species
GACGAACGCUGGCGGCGUGCUUAACACAUGCAAGUCGAACGGAAAGGCCCUGCUUUUGUGGGGUGCUCGAGUGGCGAACGGGUGAGUAACACGUGAGUAACCUGCCCUUGACUUUGGGAUAACUUCAGGAAACUGGGGCUAAUACCGGAUAGGAGCUCCUGCUGCAUGGUGGGGGUUGGAAAGUUUCGGCGGUUGGGGAUGGACUCGCGGCUUAUCAGCUUGUUGGUGGGGUAGUGGCUUACCAAGGCUUUGACGGGUAGCCGGCCUGAGAGGGUGACCGGCCACAUUGGGACUGAGAUACGGUCCAGACUCCUACGGGAGGCAGCAGUGGGGAAUAUUGCACAAUGGGCGGAAGCCUGAUGCAGCAACGCCGCGUGCGGGAUGACGGCCUUCGGGUUGUAAACCGCUUUCGCCUGUGACGAAGCGUGAGUGACGGUAAUGUGUAAAGAAGCACCGGCUAACUACGUG